GUCGGCUGUCAGUGGCGCGGUGGUUGUAUGAAGAAACUGCGCGUCCUGCCCCGGAGCAACCCAAACGUUAUUCCUCACGGCAGCGGCCAUAAAAGCAGAGGUGUAUGAAGUACUACCCUAUGUCGGUGAUUGUGUCAGUGCAACAUGCUGGAACUGGAAACACAGGUCUUUGCUGUCCAGGCCUCUCAGCUGUGAAACUUCAUGACCGAGGAUCAAAGUCUUCUUAUGAAAUCCCUCCUCAAAACUAACUUUUAUCUCAUGGCCUUCUCCUAACUCACUGUAAUUUGUUAGAUUUGUUUUAAUCAUGAUAUCAUUUUACUUAUUAUAAUUUAAAUUCUUAUUUUAUUCUUUUUUUGUUGUUGUUCUUCUGUUAAUCCUUGUUUUGCUGCAAAGCACUUUGUAAUGUUUUGGAAACAUGCAUUAUAAAUGCAUUUACAUUAUCACCAUUAUUUGAUAUUGUGUUUCUACUUCUACUAAUUAUUUUUGAUUAUGUGAUGAUAUUUUUUCGGGUGCCACACAAUAGAAAUUCUUCAAAGCACUAAUGUUAUCCAAAUGAGCGUUCACCAAGAAAGUGCUCACAUGUUCAUAUUUUACACGAUGCAGUCAAAAAAAAAACGGAGACAUAUUCAAAUGACUGCUGAUCAUCCAAUUAGGGGCUGAUUGAUUGCAUGUCAUGUGCUGACCUUUCACAGUGCAAUUUAAAUCCAUGGAUGUCUCAGCUCCAAGAGGAGCAACUGUCAUUCUUGGCCGUGGCUCUUCCUGCACAGCGAAUGUGAGCCGAGCCCUCCUCCAUAUCCCCCGUAUUAAAACCUCACAAUAUGCCCAACAACUGCACAGCGGAGGAGAGAGAAUGCACGGUAUGUGCUUACAGCAUCACAACUCCUCUCUCCUCUCACAUGGACUAAUAUGGCCAAGCCAAGAGGGGAUAGGACAAUAAACACAUAGAGCACAUUGCUACUGUAAGCACAGUGUGCUUUUAUUU